GUUCUCGUUCUUUCUCUCUCUCAAAAUAAAUAAAUGAAAACUUAAAAAAAAAAAUAAAGACAGAAUGUGAAAACAGCUGUUACAAGGAAAGCACCUACAACCCUACCUUCUCCAUGCUUUUUCUCACUACUUCUGGGAUAUUGUGCUUCUAAUAGUAUCUGUUACCAAGUUUUGUCCAUUCUUUCUUCUCAGUAUCUAUCAUUUUAGCACACCAGAAUUGUCAUAAUCAUCUCUAACUAGUCUUUUGUAUUUUAUUUUUUUCUUUCCUCUAAAUUAGCUUGGACUUUGCUGUAUGAUUAAUAUAAAUAUUUUUAAAGCGUCUUCACAAUAAAGGUCCUGUUCAAAAUAGAGAUUUGCUGUUGUCCAUCAAUUCAAAUUCACUUGGAAGGACAUGUGUCUUGAUUGUUGCUUUUUAAUCUCUUCAUUUCAAAUUGCUGCUCUUGGAUCCCCCUAUGACCAUGUCUGGCCCUUUAAAAUGGAGAACUUGUAUGCAUAAAAGGUCAUCUGCCUGAAUAAAUUACUGUAAAGAAAAGCCAAAGGAAAAUAUUCUUGCCACAUAACUGGACACACAAAUAAAUAUCUUGCUCAAAAGGAAUUAUUUUUUUCUGCUCAUAGGCUCUGAGCCCAUUACCAUAGCAACCACAACUUGUGUUGUCUAACUGGAUGUGAAUUUUAUACACUGUUAUUUGAAAUGUUAAGGCAGUAAGUGAAGAUAAAGUGCAAUUUCUAUAAUAUUUUGGAAGGACUUGUUUAUCUCAAAAAUCUUGUAGAGGAAAAGUUUCAUUGUGCAGCCUACUCAUUUGUUUAAUGAAACAGUUUAUUCAACACUGACCAUCGGCACAGCGUGUGCUAAGCAUGUUAGAGAAGUGAAAAGCAUAAAGAACACUUACCCUGGAGGAACUUCUCUAAUAAAAUCAGCUUGUCAUGGGUA